UACGAAGGGGGCUAGCGUUGUUCGGAUUUACUGGGCGUAAAGCGCACGUAGGCGGAUUGGUCAGUUAGGGGUGAAAUCCUGGAGCUCAACUCCAGAACUGCCUUUAAUACUGCCAAUCUCGAGUCCGGAAGAGGUAAGUGGAACUCCUAGUGUAGAGGUGGAAUUCGUAGAUAUUAGGAAGAACACCAGUGGCGAAGGCGGCUUACUGGUCCGGUACUGACGCUGAGGUGCGAAAGCGUGGGGAGCAAACAGG
rnacentral:rRNA from 1 species